rnacentral:rRNA from 1 species
AACGAACGCUGGCGGCAUGCCUAACACAUGCAAGUCGAACGAGACCUUCGGGUCUAGUGGCGCACGGGUGCGUAACGCGUGGGAACCUGCCCUUAGGUUCGGAAUAACUCCCCGAAAGGGGUGCUAAUACCGGAUAAUGUCCUCGGACCAAAGAUUUAUCGCCUUUGGAUGGGCCCGCGUUGGAUUAGCUAGUUGGUAGGGUAAAAGCCUACCAAGGCGACGAUCCAUAGCUGGUCUGAGAGGAUGAUCAGCCACACUGGGACUGAGACACGGCCCAGACUCCUACGGGAGGCAGCAGUGGGGAAUAUUGGACAAUGGGCGAAAGCCUGAUCCAGCAAUGCCGCGUGAGUGAUGAAGGCCUUAGGGUUGUAAAGCUCUUUUACCCGGGAUGAUAAUGACAGCACCGGGAGAAUAAGCUCCGGCUAACUCCGUG